GACGAACGCUGGCGGCGUGCCUAAUACAUGCAAGUAGAACGCACAGUUUAUACCGUAGCUUGCUACACCAUAGACUGUGAGUUGCGAACGGGUGAGUAACGCGUAGGUAACCUGCCUGGUAGCGGGGGAUAACUAUUGGAAACGAUAGCUAAUACCGCAUAAUAUUAAUUAUUGCAUGAUAAUUAAUUGAAAGGUGCAAUUGCACCACUACCAGAUGGACCUGCGUUGUAUUAGCUAGUAGGUGAGGUAACGGCUCGCCUAGGCGACGAUACAUAGCCGACCUGGGAGGGUGGUCGGCCACACUGGGACUGAGACACGGCCCAGACGCCUACGGGAGGCAGCAGUAGGGAAUCUUCGGCAAUGGACGAAAGUCUGACCGAGCAACGCCGCGUGAGUGAAGAAGGUUUUCGGAUCGUAAAGCCCUGUUGUAAGAGAAGAACGGGUGUGAGAGUGGAAAGUUCACACUGUGACGGUAUCUUACCAGAAAGGGACGGCUAACUACGUG
rnacentral:rRNA from 1 species